UUUAUUUUUCAAAAUAUUACUUCUUAAUUUUCUUUUGUUAAUUAAUCUAUGUUUUAAUUAUAUAUUAAGAAUUGGAUGUUACAUUACAUAAUUUGAAACAAACAAUAGAUUAUGUUACAAUUUGGGAAAGGAAAAAAAAAUCCACAUGGUAUACCUUCGAUUGCAACUUGAAAAAGAAAAACAAAAAGUUGUAACACAGGUGUUAACUAUUAUUUUUUUCAAAAUAGUAAAAAAUUCUCAAGAACAAAAAAAAAUCCAUUUAAGAUAUUACUUUUUCAUGUUUUCUCAAACUCCGACCAACAUAAAUAAACAUUAAAUUUUACAAAUAUUUCUUUAUGUAGUUACCAAGUUCAAUUUUAUGAAAAUAUACAAUAAUAUAAUUA
rnacentral:lncRNA from 1 species